AAGCCGAGGAGGGAAGGCUACUCUAGUUAAUUCCCUAAGAGAAUAGUGACCGUUACUCGCAGAUAGCACGCUACUCUUGUGCAGCAGCGCGGUAUACAGAAGGGUGCGAGCGUUAAUCGGAUUUACUGGGCGUAAAGCGUGCGUAGGCGGCUGAAUAAGUCGGAUGUGAAAUCCCUGAGCUUAACUUAGGAAUUGCAUUCGAUACUGGUCAGCUAGAGUAUGGGAGAGGAUGGUAGAAUUCCAGGUGUAGCGGUGAAAUGCGUAGAGAUCUGGAGGAAUACCGAUGGCGAAGGCAGCCAUCUGGCCUAAUACUGACGCUGAGGUACGAAAGCAUGGGGAGCAAACAGGAUUAGAUACCCUGGUAGUCCAUGCCGUAAACGAUGUCUACUAGCCGUUGGGGCCUUUGAGGCUUUAGUGGCGCAGCUAACGCGAUAAGUAGACCGCCUGGGGAGUACGGUCGCAAGACUAAAACUCAAAUGAAUUGACGGGGGCCCGCACAAGCGGUGGAGCAUGUGGUUUAAUUCGAUGCAACGCGAAGAACCUUACCUGGUCUUGACAUAGUAAGAACUUUCCAGAGAUGGAUUGGUGCCUUCGGGAGCUUACAUACAGGUGCUGCAUGGCUGUCGUCAGCUCGUGUCGUGAGAUGUUGGGUUAAGUCCCGCAACGAGCGCAACCCUUUUCCUUAUUUGCCAGCGGGUUAAGCCGGGAACUUUAAGGAUACUGCCAGUGACAAACUGGAGGAAGGCGGGGACGACGUCAAGUCAUCAUGGCCCUUACGACCAGGGCUACACACGUGCUACAAUGGUCGGUACAAAGGGUUGCUACCUAGCGAUAGGAUGCUAAUCUCAAAAAGCCGAUCGUAGUCCGGAUUGGAGUCUGCAACUCGACUCCAUGAAGUCGGAAUCGCUAGUAAUCGCGGAUCAGAAUGCCGCGGUGAAUACGUUCCCGGGCCUUGUACACACCGCCCGUCAACACCAUGGGAGUUUGUUGCCCAGAAGUAGGUAGUCUACUCAGCGAUAGGAGGACGCUGUACACUGUAGCAAUCAUAAACAGAA
rnacentral:rRNA from 1 species